AAAAGUUUUGUGUUUUGAUUCAAAGUUUUGAUUUAUUUCAUAAAGUUUAUGUUUUAUGUUUUUUCAAAUGUUUAAAUGUUUUAGAUAUUUGUUUAAAUGGUGAUAGAAAUAAUGGUGGGUGUGAAAGGAUUAAUUCCCUUCACCACUUGUGCACUUGCAUGCUUUAUGUCAAAACUCACAAAUCAACACACACAUCACUCACAUCUCCUCUCCAAAACCGGCCACCCUACAUGUAGGGUACUUUUGGGGCUUUUAUGCAAUUACAUAAAGUUUUGAUACUUUUGUGUAUUUGCACUUUGGCCCAAAAGUUUACGUUUUUACGUUUAGGUCCAAAAACGCUAAAGGACAAAUUGUUUUGCUCCUUUAAUGAAGUUUUUGCAUUAUUUAAAUUUUGGGUUCUAGUGUAAUUACAUGAAGUAGUGGACUUUUGUGUUCUUACAAAGUGACCCCA
rnacentral:lncRNA from 1 species